UGCAAGNUCGAACGCGAAAGUUCCCUUUCGGGGUAGCGAGUUAGAGUGGCGCACGNCCCCUUUNAAGANGGUAGGUAAUUUGCCUUUGGGUGGGGAAUACCACCCNNGAAACGGUUGUUAAUACCGCAUAAUGCAGCGGCAUCACAUGAUGACAGUUGUUAAAGCGGGGGAUUGGAGCAAUCCGACCUCGCGCCUGAAGAGAAGCCUGCGGCAGAUUANGUAGNUGGUGAGGUAAUGGCUCACCAAGCCUGCNAUCUGUAACCGGCCUGAGAGGGCGGUCGGUCACACUGACACUGACAUACGGGUCAGACNCCUACGGGAGGCAGCANUCGGGAAUUNUGGGCAAUGGGCGAAAGCNUGACCCAGNAUCGCCGCGUGAAGGANGAAAUUUUUCGGAAUGUAANCUUCNCANGAAAUGGGAAGAACAANUGGNGGACCNUACCNCCCAUNAUGACGGUUACCCAUUUU
rnacentral:rRNA from 1 species